UUUACAGAUUGCGCAUUGAUACUACACCAUGCUUUUCCCUUUACCCAUCAUGCCCUUGUGCUUUCAGCCAGACCCAGGGCCCUGUCGAUGUUGGAGGAGGAGCGUGGGGUAUCCAUCGCCAUGGAGACGUGGCUGAAGGACAGGUUGAGCGAGGGCGUCCAGAGAAUGAAAUCCCAGUUUGACCAACUGGAUCCAGACCAGACCUUCAAGGUGGGCCUGGAGGAGUUUCUGCAGGUGCUGAAGACCUUUGGCCUGAAUCUAAAGAGGGAGCAUGUGGGCUUGUUUCUGGCCAGCUCAACAAGACAGGUGUGAUCCAUUACCCAGAGUUCCUCCGCAUGUUUCAGGACCGCAGAGAGGAAGGGGUCACACACAGGAUCCUAUCCAACCCACAACACAGGUUUCAUCAUAUCCAGGGGAGCAUCAGCCACGCGUCCACACUCACCAUGGUGGAGGCUAAACUGGCUCGACUCUUCCAGUCAGAGUACCUCGAUCUGUUAGAAACGUUUCAGUAAGUAUAGAGUCACAUGGUGACUCAACAAAUAGCAAAUAUGAGCAUAUUGUAACAGCUAGAUACACUACAUGACUGAAAGUAUGUGGACAUCUG